ensembl:lncRNA
AGCCCGACAAGCAACCAGAAACAAGCAACUCACGGUGGACUUCACUAAAAGAAAGACAACCGUCAGGGAUGAAAUUCUAUAAAACGUUUUUGUGACUUUGACGAUAAUAUCUGGAGUAUGGAAUGUUGGGGAGUUUUGACUGCGAUAGCUGCCGCUUGUCUGCUAGGUGUGGUGGUGAGCCAGACGACGGCUCCGAUGCUCGGUCUUUCUGUGAUGAACACCACAUUCAUUGAGAAUGUGACAGACACAACCACAUUCAGUGAGACCCCUACAGUCAGUGAGACCCCUACAGUCAGUGAGACCCCUACAUUCAAUGAGGAAGUGACAGCAUCCCCCCAUAUGAUCCUCAGCACCACGUCCCCAGGCUGCUCUGCCCUCUGUGAGGCCUGUGUCCCAGGGUCCUACUCCGACAAAGACACCCUCCUGUGUUCCUGCUGCCGUGAGCCAGGGUUGUGUCUGUUCACUGAGGCUUGCCUCCCAUGUUCCAGAGGGUUCUUUCAGAGUCUGGCUGGACAACAGCGAUGUCUGCCCUGCAGCCAGGGUUUUUACACCAAUUUCACCGGCAGCACUGUGUGUCAGUCCUGCCCCGCAGGCUCCUACAGCAACAACACAGGCUCCGACUCCUGCCAAAGUUGUUCUCCAGGUUUCUAUAUGUCUCAACAAAAUGCCACAUUGUGCAGUCCAUGUCAACGAGGAACAUUCUGCAACUCCUCCAGUUGUGCUCUGUGCCAGAUCUGUCCUGCUGGUACAGAGUCCCUCCAGGCUGCUGCCAAGGAGUGCACACCUUGUCGUCCAGAAGGGUUAUCUGGCACUAAAUGGAUUACAUCUAUAAACACACUAAAGGAACCGUAAUAGCAGACUCAG